GGGGAUUUAGCUCAGUGGUAGAGCGCUUGCCUAGGAAGCGCAAGGCCCGGCCCUGGGUUUGGUUCCCAGCUCCG
rfam:Rattus norvegicus chromosome 8, whole genome shotgun sequence.